UGGCGCCGCGUGGGUCCGGACCCGGUUACCUUCUUCAGUGCACUGGGGAGGGUGAGGCCCAGGAAAGAAGUGGCUGAGGCAGAGAGAAAGACGGCUGUGGAGGAGGAGGAGCAGAGUAGGGGGAAAACCCAGCUAAUUGAAAUUAAGAGUGAUCACGUGACCCAAGAGCGCACAAUCCAUGAUGUAGUCAUCAUCCUGCGAGGUGACCUGGAGCAAACAGUUCUCAUCAAACACGGACUCUGAUAGUUGGGAGAUGGAGUCUCGCUCUUUCACCCAGGCUGGAGUGCAGUAGCGCGAUCUCGGCUAACUACAACCUCCACCUCCCAGAUUCAAGCAAUUCUCCUGCCUCAGCCUCCCGAGUAGCUGGGAUUACAGGCAUGUGCCACCAUGCCCGGCUAAUUUUUUUGUAUUUUUAGUGGAGGCAGGGUUUCACCAUAUUGGCCAGGCUGGUCUCGAACUCCUGACCUUGUGAUCCACCUGCCUCGACCUCCCAAAGUGCUGGGAUUACAGGCGUGAGCCACUGCACCCGGCCAAGAUGGUAUUUUCAACAAAUGGUGCUGGGUCACUGGAUAUUCACAUGGAAAAUAAUAAAUUUGACCCCUAUCUC